rnacentral:rRNA from 1 species
CACGGGGGUUGCGAGCGUUGUCCGGAAUUACUAGGCGUAAAGGGCAGGCAGGCGGAUCCAUAAGUUUAUCGUUUAAGGCGUCGGCUUAACCGGCGUAGGGCGGUAGAUACUGUGGAUCUGGAAUGCGGUUGGGGAAGACAGAAUUCCUGGUGUAGCGGUGGAAUGCGCAGAGAUCAGGAGGAAUACCGAAGGCGAAGGCAGUCUUCCAAGCCGUUAUUGACGCUCAACUGCGAAGGUGUGGGUAUCAAAACAGGAUUAGAUACCCCCGUAGUCUCUGAG